rnacentral:ncRNA from 1 species
GGUCACGCUGGCCAAACCAUUCGCGAGGAUGGGACGGAAAGCCACGGAUCUCUCGGAGACCGCCGGGCUGCAUGG